AAAAGGUCGUAUCCUCCGAUCGUAGCUGAUCGUAACCAUUCAAGUUAACGUGUCAAUUUACACCGACGUCUUUCCGUUCCUCUGCGGAUCGCCGGACUCCUCAGCUGAUCACAAGAUUUCUAUUCCGUGCUGGAAAGGAAGUCGGGCACAGACACAAAAUAAAACAUCCGGCUUCUUUUCAAAAUAAAACACUCUAUGUUUCAGGAAGAUCGAGCGGAGACGAACAAGUGAAAGGUUUUUAGACGUCAUUUCACCCCGAUGACACCAUGGAUGAGGAGAUGAUGAUUCUAGAAGUCUAGAAGUAGAUUUCCUCCUCUGGAAGGACACAAUCUACUGCUUAUAUGUCUAUGUGUCUGUCUUUAUAGAGACAACUCGUUAUCGUGAGAUUGCACGUGAAUCUGCGAGUUCUUGUGAGUUCUCGUGAUUCCCACUGUCCGUAAUCCGCCAUGAAAUUCGCCUCACAAAUGGAUCCUGGUAAGAAUUGGUGGACGGCAAAAAUCGCCGCUGUUCCGGAUCUGAGCUGUUCCAGAUGCGGUGAAAAUCUUGGGUCAAACGGGCUCAGGUCCAGAGAAGUCCCUGGUGUUUCUGGAUGGUGUUUCAUGUAAACCAGGACUGGUUUACAUGUUUAAAUUGUUGAUCUGUUUGCUUGAACCUUUAAUAUGCCAUCUUUGCUCUGUUUAUGAUUUAAUAAGGAGUUUUUAAAAUUGUUAUUGUUCAACACUUUAAACACUAACCUAAGCACUCCUCAGGUCUCAUAGUCUUUGUGUUUUACAUCUGUGGUUAGAAAUGUCUCCUAUCAGGACAUCAGCUGCCAUUAAAUUAAAAUACUGCUGUAGUUACAGACACUAAUGCCGUCACAAACACCGCCUCCCUUCAGCUUCUGCUCAUCCUGAACACCUCUAACAGACAUACAAACACUAUAAAGGUUUAUGGGCUGGAACAAGGUGAACACUACUCUGAGAAACCUGCCCUUAAAACAAUCUCAACCCCACCACCCCUGAAGGAGCACAGUGGGUGUGAUGUCUGCUCUUUAACACUGUGUGUCAGUCUGAACUCAUCAUCGCCCUCAAACUGAACUCCUCAAAUCUGCGGACCGUCUCAUAUUUGCUCUCAGGGUGAGUUAACUGUCAGCUGCUGAGAAAUGAGAUAUCAAUCCAAACAAGAGGAGAAUCACUGUUAAUUAUAAAUAUUAUUUCCUUGUGGAGGAGAAACUGUGGAUCUGUCAAGGCCUCAUUUAUACUUGAGUGAGAGUGUGGAUGUGGAGGUGAGGAACUCCAGGGGAACCUGGAUCAGGCCGGGCCGGGCUGCCUGUAAACUUUUGAUCAUCCAGAACUCCUUCAGUCAACUUCUCUUUCCUCCCCUCUCAGAUAUCAGAUCUUCUCAGCCGGGACGCUCUCUAAUCAGAGACAGACCUCCAGACCUUAGACAGAGAUCCUCCUGAGACCGAGUGAUCAGAUGGAAACAGAUGAAAGUCUCAGAUCAUCUUCAGCAGCUGCUGUCAGGAGGUUAGAGGGCCGGAGGACGUCGCGAAUAUUAAACAUCCUCUUUAAUGACCCUCAUUCUCCAGGAGUGUUUUACCUCCACUGUAACUUCAGCUUUCUAUAAUAACUAUAAUAACUUCAUUUUUUCACAAACUAAAGGCACUUACAGAAAGAAAACACCGACAUGGAUGAAGGUGCGAGGGCCCGCCCAUCCUGCUUUAAUAAGCUGUUCAUGAAAACAGUUUAUUCCUUAAAAUCAGAGUUUUUAAGGUCGGCUGAACUGCUGUGAGGUACAAGUGGUCCUCACAGAUAUAGUGAUUCUGAUACAGUGGUGUGUGUGUGUGUGUGUGUGUGUGUGUGUGUGUGUGUGUGUGUGUGUGUGUGUGUGUGUGUGUGUGUGUGUGUGUGUGUGUGUGUGUGUGUGUGUGUGUGUAGAAAAGUGUGUGAAGCUGGUUCACAGUCACCCAUCUUUAUUUGAGGGUGUACCUUCAUUACUCCGUCUCAUCAGGCAGGAAAAGAACCAGAGCCGGUGUGUGUGUGUGUGUGUGUGUGUGUGUGUGUGUGUGUGUGUGUGUGUGUGUGUGUGUGUGUGUGUGUGUGUGUGUGUGUGUGUCUGUGGUGAUUGAUGAGCGCUCAUCAGACUCUUGCAAUCACUAAACUUUCUUUUUCAUUUCUGCUCGUCUUUGCUUCCCUCCAUCUAUCAUCAUGUCAUCCUUUCAUUCUGUGUCUGUUCCUUUUCUAACGUGCACACUUCAAACUCACACACACACACCUCUGAAAGAGUGAUACAUGUGCUGGUGUUGUGGUCACAUGUCAGUUUGUUUAAAUCAGGGUAGUAGAGCCCUAUAGUAUCAUAACACAGGCAUUAACAUUAUUAAGCUGACAUGUAAUUCUGGAGCCGAUUAAAGGUACACUUGGUAAAUUUUACCGGCAUUAAAGGGAUAUUCUGGCAUAAAAUUAAUUUAGGGUCAAACACACCGUAACACCAAGUUAGACCCCCCCUCCAGAGAUGAAUGUUGCCGACCGCUUGCUUCUCUAGUUAUACCAACUUUAGUAACGACCGCAGGAUAGCAAUACACAGCGGAGCCAUAAACAAACCUCAACCAAAACGCCACUCUAUAGCCACAAAUAAUGCUCAGAACAGCACCUAACUUCAUCAACAGGACAUAUAGGGUCACAGACAUAGUACUAGACACCAAACAUCUUUUUAACUUUGACUCAUUUCUUUGGCAAAGAGACUAAACACAACUCACCUACUCUCUUCCAGCAGACGCUUGUUUGUAGAGAGACCUCAGGCCAGUCCAUUACGGACUACAGCGGGGUGACGCAGCUCAAGGAAGAACAUUUAUGAUCAUUUCUUUAUCAUUUCUCGAAGUAAUAAUCACCACAUUAAUCAUUUUUCACUGCAGACGCGGUAGUUCUUCUGUCUUAGCGUCUCGGUCUGAUUGCAUUUCCAUGAAGCGUUAAAGGGAGUCCAGCAGGGCUCCAUGUUUGGAUCUGUUUCAUUUUCUUUCCAUGUUCAUGAUCCCCUCAGUGCCUCACUUGAGGUCAUGUAAAUGUUUAAAUCUAUGCAGAUGAUGUAGUGAUUUCUACCUCAACUACAAACACACAAAAUUUGCACUUUAGCAUGUUCGAUUUUUCUGAAGCCUCCAAGAGAUUUCUCACUCAAAUGUUUGCAGAUGUUAGUGAUGUUUACCGUCUAAGAAGGUGACAAAUGAAGGAUUAUACGUAUUGUGCAUCACAGGCGCUUUUUGUCCUAGAAGGCCACCGUCACUGAGCAAGGGAGCGUUUCAAUCUAGAAUCUGAGAGGUUAAAUGAAGUAAAUAUAUCAGACUGACCCUCAGCCGCUGAAAUAAAACGACUUUUGCAUAAAUCAGCUGUAGACGGGUCACUCUAUCCUGAUAAUCGCGGCUGUGAGGCUUUAUCGCCUCCUUCCUGCAGGUGUUGACAUUAUCCUCUUAGUGUUUAACAGCAAGAGGAUUACAGGUGAUCAAACAGGUGUAUUUACGGCUCUCCAAGUGUGACCUGAGAGCCGCACGCCUGCGCUUUGUAAUGCAAACAGCUGACUGUAAGUGCACCUCCGGUUAAAGAGCUUUGUUGGUUUUCCUCUGAGGAAAGGAUGAUAAACUGGGAGAGUUCGGAGGGAUGGCGGAGCUUCCAGAGCCGGGCGGGAAAUGGAGCGUCAGGCGGCGGCGGAGUCAAUUUAUUUCACCUGGAACAUGUAGAAAAGCCAGAGGCCACGCUUUAUCAGAGAGGGGAGAGCGCGGAGGGAGCGAGAGGAGAGCCGAGCGCUGUUCAUAAAUUAGACGCUGGAGGAGACGGAGGAAGAGAGGGAGUAAGGAAGAGUAGGCAGGUAAUGAAGUGAGGAGGUGGAUGGGAGGCAGGCGGGGCGAGGAGGAGGAGAGGAAGCGAGGAGGGAUGUUUGCUCCGUUGUUUCUUGUUAACUUCAACAGCCCAUAAUUCAGGCCUCAGGGGGACUCUGCUAUCGACAGGGACAGCUCUGUUUUACAUUCAGCGGCUGGCUGCAGGCGACAGCGACGGAUGAUUAGCUCGCCGCCUGCAGGCCGGCUACGCCGGAGAACAGGCGGUUGAGCCGGGUUGUUGGUACACUUCCUAAUUAGCCGGUUGGUUUUUUAGGCUGAGCGAGCGGCAGCUGAAGGACGGAGGGAUCAGACAGACCGUUCAGGGGGACUGAAUGAAACGCUGCUGGAAACACUAAUUACCUGUUUUACUGACUGUUUCAUUAAACGCUAAACCCAAAACCGCACCAGACGGACAGUUUACUCAACCCUGGACCUUCAACUUCAGACUUCCUGAAGUUUAUUCUCUAAAGUUGGGAAAUAAGGCAACAAUCAAGUAGCCAAUUAGAGCUAGGCCUCAUUAUCAUAGCAGCCCCGCCCAGUACUAUAAUAAGGCAACAAUCAAGUAGCCAAUCAGAGCUAGGCCUCAUUAUCAUAGCAGCCCCGCCCACUUUGUUAAUAAUGGUGCAUUCCAGUUGUUCUCUGAGGUAGGAAUUUACGUACUCCGAGUCAGAACUUUCAACUGGAAUAAACAUCGAAGUUGGAUUUCCGACUCGGAAAGUCAGACCAUCAACACAGCCCCCGAGUUAACGUUUAAAGAUGGCGGCGCCGGUUGUAAACUGAAAGUUGAAGCUCCCGUUUUAAUCCUAUAAUCCAAAUGUAUCACUAGAUGUUUAUAUACUGAAAUGCUGUCAUAGUGUAAUUUACAUUUUUCAUGUGAAUAUGCGAACUACAACCGUGCUAACAGUGGCUAACUGUAGCCUGAUGGUUUCAGCUGGUGUUUUUUUGUGUAUUUCAACAUAUAAUUAACUAAAUGCGUGUAUGCAGUUGUUAAGAGCACUUGCCUGUUAUCAACUGAUGACCGAUCAAAAGGCGAUAGAUACUUUUUGUAAACAUGAAAUGAAACAUGAAAGAAAAAAUAGGCAACCUUCUGCGCCAUUGUGUUUCCUCUUCAUCCACUGUGUUUGCAUGUCGCAGAAGGACCGCAUUUUUGUCCAGAAGCUGCUUAUAUUUCGGACAAGGCAAGCGCUAAAAUAACUUUCGUAGAUGUAGCCAUCUUGUUUCCACCUCCGAUUUUGCUUUUUUCUGACUUGGUAGCUGAAACAACGGUAACUCGGGUGUGACGUCAUUCCCAGCUCCGACAUCCCAGCUCAGCAUAAGACGACAUUUAGUAGCCAAUCAGAACUAGGCCUCAUUAUCAUAGCAGCCCCGCCCACUCUGAUCACCGCAUGGAUAAUGAGGUUAGGAACUGAGAGGCUGCAGAUCCUGACUGUCAUAUUUUAUGACUUAUUGAAAAGACGACUGGCGCCCCUGGUAACGUAAAUAGUUCAUGUAAAAAACAACAUGUUGUGGUUCCUCUGUCUUCUUGUGAUUCACUUUUUACGGUCUCUUCUCCUCUCAGCUGACUCAGAGGUGUGAGGAUUGAAGUGUCAAACUCUCUCUCCUUCCUUUAAGAUACAUGAAGUACAUUUUUGCUGAGAAAUGCCCAGAGGAGCAUUUAGGAUUGGAUUUAGACUUGACUUGUCUCUGCAGAGGUUUCUGGAUCACGCAUCGCUACAGAUCUGAUCUGUUUGCAUCGGUCAGGGAGCGGCAGGACUUUGAUUUCUUGUUGCACAUGUUUCUAUCUGAUAUGUAAUCCUGUCUUUGUUCCCUUCUGCCUCUCAGGACCCUCUCUGAGUCUGACCUUCCAUCUUCACACCCUCACUUCCUCUGAGUGCACAAUCACUCCGGUCUCAUCUCAUCCACUCAUCCCGGCCUUCGAUUUCUGCAGGUUGUCAGCGGCGGCUGUGGGAAGAUGAUGCCUCGGCUCUCGAGGGUUCGCAAACGGCUGCGAGGAGGCGUAAAGCCGAAAUGAGGCCGAUUUACAGAGAAUCAAACCAAAACCUGGAGUACUUUGUCUUCAGGGUGAUGAGCGAGGAAUUAUGUGUUUUUUCUCCUCUUCCUCCACACACACAAUCUCAAACAGAGCCAGACAGGGUUUUUAAAAUGACCCAAAUGAGCCGAGCUGCAGAUCGGUGCUGCGGCGUUCAGGAGCAUUAGAGGACAGGAGCAAAGAGCUAAAAUCACAGCCCUAUUGAAGGAGAAAAGCUGCUCGCUGCUUUGUGGCAUUGUUCUCUGGUGUUGAAUCAAUCUGAGCGCUAUUGAUGGAGAGCGUUUGGGAGGAGGCGAAACAGGAAAACACGGGAUGAGGAGAGGAGAAACAAAAGAACAGAGAGAAUCGCUUAGAUGAGCAGGAGAAGUUCUGCUUCGGGGGGAAAACAAACUUUUCUUUUGCGGAAAGUUUCGGUGGCGGAUGAGCUGCUGCAAAGAUUGUUUUGGAGCUUUUAUUAAUAAAACAUUUAUAUUUAAAUCAUAUUCACAUUAUUACACAAAGAGCUGCAAACGUAGAGCAGAGUGUUUUUGCUCUAAAUGGGCCCAUCAUGGUUUACUGAAAGAACAACAACAUUAUCAAAGAAGAUUAUAAACUUCUGAUUAAAAACAUCAGCUCAUUGGGAAAAUCUUAACUUAAAGGAGAGAUGAACUCUUUUCUGUUUUUGUUCACAAUCAAAAUCUCUGCUCCACCCACGACGUCAGUGCAUGGACCCUCUAUAGAGACCAGAACCAACCAACCAUCUCUUACAGGUCUCUUCAGUAAAACCUAUAAAAGGUUAUGAUCAUGCUUAACUCCUUUUUGAUCCAUCUUACCAUGGUGGAUCCAGGUCUGGAUCCUUCUUAGACAAGUAAACAAAUAGAUUUCAGGAGGUAAUGUGUGUCCGCAGACUGCGCAGAUCCAGAAGCUGCAGAUUUGGGACUGCAACUCUCAAGGCUAAAACUUACAGGACGUGUAUCAGCUCCGUUGUAGCAUCGUACCGAAAGCAGCUCUGCUAAAGAUACGCGGCGCGUCGAUUUUUGCUGCUCUACGCUUCCAAUACGUAGAGCAGCAAAUGAUCUUCUCUUCCACACAGAGAAGAUCAUUCUAGACAGGAAGAAACGCGCUAAAUACGGAUCCUCUAUGUUUUUGGCUUCAGGCGACUGUUCGAUGUGACAGCAACACGUUGUGUAUUGGAUUGCCAAGAUAAAUUACUUUCCAAAAUGAAAAUUGUCUAAAUUCAGACAAAAGUCAAAGGUUUUUCCAAAUGACUGUCUCUAUUAAAAAGUAAUGCCAUAAACAGACGAAGGUUAACCUCCCUCUAACGGUCUGUUCCUGAUGUUUGGCGUCCUCGCGGUCGCCCAUUCAUCUCCACUUGUCCUUGAUUUUUCACUUCUUAAAUCCAGACGUGUUGAAGGAUUUCCAGACCUGCAGCUCUGCAGCACUGACUGCAGUCCUUCAACACAAAGAGCCAAACACUCCUAACUACACCCUCACACACACACACACACACACACACACAGGUGGAGUUCUCCUUCACAUCUCAGCAGUUUAGCUGACGAGGCGUAACACUCCUGGACCUGCUGAAGCAUCAGCGAGGAGGAGCAGGAGAGAAAACAUCCAACCUUUCUCAGCUGGUCAAUGACAGAGUCAGGAGUUUUCAGCGUUAAAGAAGACAUUUUUCCCUCUAAUGCCGUGCAUGUCAGAUGAGAUGAGGCUCAGAUGGCUUUUUAAUGGUCUGCUGUCAAUUAGAGGGAGCUGGAGAGGAACUAUUGGCCUCCUGAGGAGGAGGAGGAGUAGAGGGGAGGGAGGAGGGGGGAGAAGAUAAGAGGAGGUGUGGGAAUGGAGAGAUUAGAGGAAGGUAAGAUAACACUGGAUGUAGUACAGAGAUAAAGCGAUAGGGUAAAAGAGGAGGGUUUUUUUAUUUAAAGAAGGAGAAAUCCAAAAUCAGAGGAGUUUCAAUCAAGCUGCUAAAAUCACAAAACUGUUUAAACUGAAGAAACUCCAUAAAAGUCGUUUUAACUGCAUAUAAAACCUGCAUUACCUAUAACGGCCAGCAGGGGGACACUGAGCUGAGUCUAUGGAAGAGUAGUCCUCCUGCUGGUCUCACUCUGAAGUUUGGAGUCUCCUUCAAAACAACAUGAUGCUCAUUCAACAGAUCAUGGUCCCAUUUAGACCCAAACAGACCAGAAAGAGGGGCGGGAUCAAGGCGGGGCUACCCGGGAUUGACAGGUCACAGACUGAUCAGAGGAGAAAGGAAACUCGUGUGUGAAGACGUCAGUGAUGAAGAGGUUCAGUCAAGGACUUUGGUCUCAACUUCCAUUUUCAUCCAUCCAAAGACAGGAACGUCAGCUCUAACGAAGCUGCUGUCUGCUGGAUUGGUGGACGUCCAUCAUUUCAUCAGAAACUAAAAUAGUGAAGUCUGAGAAAGUUUUGUAGUUGUUUGUGGAGAACUGAACUCCACCUGGAUUUAACCGGAUCUUCACGUCUGCACAGGUGUGUCAGGCCCUCAGCAGGUGAAUGUUUCCAAAGUGCAGAUUUACCGACACAAGAUCAUUCUUCCUCAGAUUUGUAGAAGCGGUCGUGGGUUGUAAUUACUCAUCCUCAGCACUAUGAAUGAGAUCCAUUACACGGCCUGUCACUGCAGACGUCUGAGAUUGAUUAAAAUAAGAACCUCUGCGCUCGGACAGACGGCUCUCUGCCUUUAAAACUUCUCCAGAGUGAUCAUUAAGGAAGUUACCGUCAGAAUCAUUCUGGAAAUUGCAGCUUUUCAGGUUGUCAUUUUGGUCCUAAUGAUUAAUCACACAAUCUUGGUGUUUGGCAAAAAGAUUUGAAGGCAGUUUGGCAGCUGGUUCGGAGUCAUAAAUCCAGGAAAAUGUAACUUCAAAAGUCAUCAAUGGGUCGAAAUGACUGAAAUGGGCCGUUUAUUUUCAUUCUGGCACACGGUUUUGGUUUUCCGUCAAGAAGACAUCGAUGUAGGACCGCCGAACUGGACGUAACAAUGAAGAAUGUGUAAGGUGUGACCUCCUAAGACCCACCCCCUCUUCUGAUUGGAUGUGGUGUGUUAGAUUAACUCUGAGAACGGCCAGAAACCCAAUUACUCCACUGUGUGUGUGUGUGUUUCAGCUUGUCAGAUGUAAUUAGCUGAGGACUGCUGCCUCUCUUUCUCUCAGAACAAAGUAACAUAAUUAUAAAUCACACUUGUAAUUUCAGUCUGUUUUAAUAAGUGCUCUCUGUGACAGCACGAUUACUCUCUCUGAGCUCCAUCUCUGACUCCUUUUUCUCAUUUUAACCUCUUUAUUAUUAUUCCAACUUGCUCUCUACAGACGUCUUUGUGUUCACACCUCUACAGCCGGGUCUGACCCCCGAUUUCCACCGCAUCCAGAACGGCUACGAAAAGGCCAUAUCCUGAUCGUAACCAUUCAAGUUAACGUGUCAAUUUACACCGACUUCUUUCCGUUCCUCUGCAGAUCGUCGGACUCCUCAGCUGAUCGCAAGAGUUCUAUUUUUUCUGGACGCCGGAGCAUGGCGGAUAAAUUCAGCACAGAUUAACCCGUGCUGGAAAGGAAGUCGGGCACAGACACAAAAUAAAACAUCCGGCUUCUUUUCAAAAUAAAACACUCCAUGUUUCAGGCGGAU